rnacentral:rRNA from 1 species
GUGAACACUUGCCCGCCAAACAACUAAGAGUUAUACUUAAAGCUGAAAAGACUUGACGGUACUUCACCACAAUCUAGAGGAGCCUGUCUCCUACCCGCUAAUCCACGAUUAAUCUCACCCUUUCUCGCCCAACAGUCUAUAUACCGCCGUCGCCAGCUUACCUUGUAAAAGAAAUAAAGUGAGCCAAACAGUACUACACUAAAACGACAGGUCGAGGUGUAACCAAUGAAAGGGGCUAAGAUGGGCUACAUUCUCCAACCGAGAAUACGAACAGCACUAUGAAACUAGUGCCCGAAGGCGGAUUUAGCAGUGAGAUGAGAAUCAAACACGUAACUGUACUCAAC